AGUGAACGCUGGCGGUAGGCCUAACACAUGCAAGUCGAACGGCAGCACCGUAAGAGCUUGCUCUUACGGGUGGCGAGUGGCGGACGGGUGAGGAAUACAUCGGAAUCUACUUUUUCGUGGGGGAUAACGUAGGGAAACUUACGCUAAUACCGCAUACGACCUACGGGUGAAAGCAGGGGAUCUUCGGACCUUGCGCGAUCGAAUGAGCCGAUGUCGGAUUAGCUAGUUGGCGGGGUAAAGGCCCACCAAGGCGACGAUCCGUAGCUGGUCUGAGAGGAUGAUCAGCCACACUGGAACUGAGACACGGUCCAGACUCCUACGGGAGGCAGCAGUGGGGAAUAUUGGACAAUGGGCGCAAGCCUGAUCCAGCCAUACCGCGUGGGUGAAGAAGGCCUUCGGGUUGUAAAGCCCUUUUGUUGGGAAAGAAAAGCAGCAGGUUAAUACCCCGCUGUUCUGACGGUACCCAAAGAAUAAGCACCGGCUAACUUCGUG
rnacentral:rRNA from 1 species